GACGAACGCUGGCGGCGUGCUUAACACAUGCAAGUCGAGCGGAGCGGCGAACGGGUGAGUAACGCGUGAGUAACUGCCCCCCUCUCUGGGAUAACAGUUGGAAACGGCUGCUAAUACCGGAUAGUGGGGGAUGACUCGCGUCCUAUCAGCUUGUUGGUGGGGUAGUGGCCUACCACGGCGACGACGGGUAGCCGGCCUGAGAGGGCGACCGGCACCAUUGGGCUGAGGUACGGCCCAAACGGCAACGGUGGGCAGCAGGGGGGAAUAGUGCACAAGGGGGGAAAGCCUGAUGCAGCACCGCCGCGUGCGUGAUGACGGCCUUCGGGUUGUAAACCGCUUUCAGCUAUGACGCGGUAGUGGCAGAAGAAGCACCGGCUAACUCCGUGCCAGCAGCCGCGGUAAUUC
rnacentral:rRNA from 1 species